UAUUAAUGUAAAUAAACUUUAAAUUUUCAAAAUAACAAAUUUAAGUUACACAUUAUUUUAAAACCUAUAAGAAUUAAAUUUUUCUAGUUUGUUGUUACUAAAAUGAGUUUUGCUCUAAAUGAAGGAUAUUUGAAUCUAAUUUGCUAUAAAACUAUAGAUUGUGUUCAAGGUUCUGUUAGAGCCGUUCGAUACAAUGUUGAUGGAAUCUACUGUUUAACUUGUGGUUCAGACAGAAAAAUUAAACUUUGGAACCCUAAAACAGCUUUAUUACUGAAAACUUAUGGAGGACAUGCAAGUGAAGUCACAGAUGCAAUGGGCAGCUGUGAUAGCUGUCAUAUUGUAUCUGCCAGUUUAGAUAAAUCUAUAAUAUAUUGGGAUGUAACUACAGGACAGCCCAUACGUCGAUGCCGUGUCCAUGCUGGUGGUGUAAAUUGUGUCCGUUUCAAUGAAGAUUCCUCAAUUGCCGUAUCUGGAUCAAAAGAUAAUUCAGUAAUGUGUUGGGAUAUUCGUACUCGAAAAAUUGAGCCCAUACAAACUAUGAAAGACGCUAAAGAUUGUGUUACAUCACUCAUCGUAAAUGAAUCACAAAUUAUAACAGCUUCCUUAGAUGGUUGCAUUCGUCGUUAUGAUAUAAGAAUGGGUGAAAUAGUUUGUGAUGAUAUUGGGAUUCCUAUUACUUAUAUUGUCGAAACUAAGGAUGGACAAUGCAUUAUUGCUGGUUGUUUAGAUGGAAGAGUUCGUUUGGUGGAUAACGAAACUGGUAAUGUAAUUCAAGAAUACGUAGGAAGAAAAAAUGACGAUUAUCAUAUUGAGUGUGAAAAGAUGUCAAAUGAUAAACAUGUAAUUUCUGGUUCAUCUGAAGGUUUAAUUUACGUAUGGGAUUUACUUAGUGGGAAAAUUUUGCAACAUUUAAAAGCCAAUAACAAUACUACUAAUUCUGUUAUUCAUUCAUUGACUACGCAUCCCUUGUUGAAUGAAGUAAUAUUUGCAAAAGGCCGUGAAAUACAUAUAUGUGGUUCAUCAGAGGAACAAUCAUUUUUAGAAUAACUGUUAAUAAUUUUUAUUUAACUUAAACUACUUAAUGGUUGCAUUAAAAAAUCUACGUUUAUGCAUACAAUGUACACACAUAAUAUGUAAAAAUAAAUUCUAGUUUCAGUAUUUUCUAGUGUUAGUUUAACAGAAUUGUAUCUACCAUGCAAAGAAAAUAAAUAUGUAUAUGUAUAUCACAUUUCUCGAGAAACCUAGUCGUUUAAAACAACCAAAAUUUUAAUAUAAGUAUGCAAAUUGCAACUAAAUAACAAAAAUCAAAAACUGAAACAUUUCGUAUACAUAAAUAAAUAAAUAAAUAAAUAUUUAUGUAUGUAUAUGGAAAAACGUAAUAGCAAAAAUUUAAACAUAAAUUUUCUAAUCUUUAUUUAUGAUAAGUAAUCAUCUUUAUGUAUGUGAUAUGAGGCAAGGCCAAAUUAAAAUAAUUUUGAAGAGAUUUUUUUCAGGGCCUGGACCCUUGGGGAACCUAUGUUUAAAAAAUUUUCGAAGCCAUUUCAACGGCAUAUGAUCAUUUUUGUGGAAUUUUUUUGAAGGUAACCUCAUACGGGAUGUAUCUAUUUCGAUGAGCCAAUAGCCAAAUCAGUCAAUUUGAAAUACCUGUUAUAAAUAAAAUGAACGCCAAAUACCAACGGUUGCCAUAG